AUAAAUACUUUGGUUCCUUCAAAUAAACUUAUAAUUAAUAACAUAAAUAAUUUAAUUCUUUCAAAUCAUAAAUUCAUUACUUAAACAUUAUACCAAUACAUAUACUCUUUAUUUUUAGUACCAUGUAUCGAAAUAUUAUGCUUUGAAAAUUCAUUUGAUAAUAUAAUCAGUAAUUUCCAAAGUAAUGUUUACUAAAAUAAUAUGAUCUCAUUCGUUUAAUUGUACAGAUAUUUUCCAUAGGGCUCGCAUACACUUAGGAGAAAGAGAAGCAGAUAGGUUUUCAGAACAGAUUCAGAAUGGCCUUAGGUCGCCANN
rnacentral:lncRNA from 1 species